rnacentral:rRNA from 1 species
UACAGAGGGUGCGAGCGUUGUUCGGAAUUACUGGGCGUAAAGGGCUCGUAGGCGGCCAACUAAGUCAGACGUGAAAUCCCUCGGCUUAACCGGGGAACUGCGUCUGAUACUGGAUGGCUUGAAUCCGGGAGAGGGAUGCGGAAUUCCAGGUGUAGCGGUGAAAUUCGUAGAUAUCGGGAGGAACACCAGUGGCGAAGGCGGCGACCUGGACGGACAUUGACGCUGAGACGCGAAAGCGUGGGGAGCAAACAGG